ACUGCUCAGUAACACGUCGGUAACCUGCCCUAAGGUCAGGGAUAACCUCGCGAAAGUGAGGGUAACACCUGAUAGGGAUUAGUCCUGGAACGGACUUUUCCCAUAAACUCGUGCCUUAGGAUGGGCCGGCGGCGGAUUAGGCUGUUGGCGGUGUAAUGGACCACCAAACCGAAGAUCCGUACGGGCCAUGAGAGUGGUAGCCCGGAGAGGGACACUGAGAUACUGGUCCCAGCCCUACGGGGUGCAGCAGGCGCGAAACCUCUUCAAUGCGCGAAAGCGUGAGAGGGGAAUUCCAAGUGCUCAAGUUUUACUUGGGCUUUUGUCAAGUGUAAAAAGCUUGGCGAAUAAGGGGUGGGCAAGACUGGUGCCAGCCGCCGCGGUAACACCAGCGCCCCGAGUGGGGAUCGCGAUUAUUGGGCCUAAAGCGUUCGUAGCAGGUUCUGUAAAUCUUUUGUGAAAUGGGCAGGCUUAACCUGUCCGCGCGCAGAGGAGACUGCAGGACUCGAGAUCGGGAGAGGUCAGAAGUAUUCCUUGGGUACCGGUAAAAUGGGUUAAUCCAGGGAGGACUACCAAUGGCGAAGGCAUCUGACUAGAACGAUUCUGACUGUGAGGAACGAAAGCUAGGGGAGCAAAACGGAUUAGAUACCCGAGUAGUCCUAGCCGUAAACGCUGCGAGCAAGGUAUUGCGCCUCCCACGAGGAUGCGCAGUGUCGAAAUGAAGAUGUUAAGCUCGCCGCCAGGGAAGUACGGUCGCAAGGCUGAAACUUUAAGGAAUUGGCGGGGGAGCA
rnacentral:rRNA from 1 species